rnacentral:rRNA from 1 species
CCUACGGGGGGCAGCAGUCGAGAAUCAUUCACAAUGGGGGAAACCCUGAUGGUGCGACGCCGCGUGGGGGAAUGAAGGUCUUCGGAUUGUAAACCCCUGUCAUGUGGGAGCAAAUUAAAAAGAUAGUACCACAAGAGGAAGAGACGGCUAACUCUGUGCCAGCAGCCGCGGUAAUACAGAGGUCUCAAGCUUUGUUCGGAAUCACUGGGCGUAAAGCGUGCGUAGGCUGUUUCGUAAGUCGUGUGUGAAAGGCGCGGGCUCAACCCGCGGACGGCACAUGAUACUGCGAGACUAGAGUAAGGGAGGGGGAACCGGAAUUCUCGGUGUAGCAGUGAAAUGCGUAGAUAUCGAGAGGAACACUCGUGGCGAAGGCGGGUUCCUGGACAUUAACUGACGCUGAGGCACGAAGGCCAGGGGAGCGAAAGGGAUUAGAUACCCUAGUAGUC